CUUGAGACUUGAGGGCUGGGGCGGCCAUUAACCGCCCACGGCCGCCAUGUUCGUUUUUAGGCUGUUUGGGUCCUGGCAGCACGUGACCCAUGGGAGGCCUAGGCUGCAGAUGAGGAUGUGACAGCGAGUUUGGAGUGACAGUCAGCUCUAGAGGCAAUAGAAGCACCAAACAGAAACUCUUAGAGGAGCUGAAAGAAGCAUUUUAAAGCAUAAUGGGUACCAAUUCUUUCUCUUGGAAUGCUCUCAAAUGUCCUGGCACGAGAGAUCCACGGUGGCAAUGUGGAUGUAGGGUGAACGCUCAACCAUUUCUAGUCCAUCGCCAGCUCCACCCUGACUUCCUGCGCUCAGGCAGGCCUAGCACAGCCCAGCCCGCACCUCAGCCCUGCCGCUCUCACAUUUCAGGGACUGAGUGCUGAGGUGGGAGUGGCAGGGAAGUGGCAGGGCCAGACGACGCUGGGGGAGAGUGAGGAAAGGCUAUCUUCUCCUGAGGGAUGGGAGAGACCGUGUGUGACAUCUGGGACAGUGAGGAGGGAGUGACCCUGAAGGACUGUGGUCCAGGGUUUCCCUACUGCUUCUCACAGCCUCAUUUUUCUUUGCUGAAAGGCCUGGAGUUUGCAGUUCAAGGCCCCACUCUUUGGUGCCAUUAUUUUCCAACAAGUUUUCUCCUUUACUUUUCCCCACAAGACCAAGAAAAGAUGGCAGCAACAGAGCUGGGUGCUCAGCAGCCGGCUUCCCAGUCUCCACAGCCACCUCCUGCCUCUGCAGGUCCCACCUGAGAAUCCUCAGGGCUUCAGGGACAGGAUUUUAUUUUCUUCUUCCCUUCUCGUGGUGACUCUUCAUGUCACCCUAAGGGCCGUAGUAACUAUUUCUCUGUGGUAGAAAUUCCCGUGGCAAUAUUUUCUCUACUUCUAUCUCAUGUAUAAAAUGUCAGUAUUAAAAUUGCUUAGACUGAAUGAA